CAACACUAAGAUAUUUCAAGAGAUUGGAGCAGUGCAGAGUCUAAAAAGAAUCGUCAUGUACACCAGUAAUGGCACAACUUGUGCUCUCGCCAAGCGGGCUCUGAGCAUGAUGGGAGAGGAAGUGCCUAAACAUAUCUUGUCAUGUGUGCCCAACUGGAAAACCUGUGAAGUGCUGACCUGGCUGCAGCAGGUUGGCUUCAGUGCCUAUUGUGACCGCUUCCAGGAACUCCAGGUGGAUGGAGACCUCCUGC